GAUGAACGCUGGCGGCGUGCCUAAUACAUGCAAGUCGAGCGAACAGACGAGGAGCUUGCUCCUCUGACGUUAGCAGCGGACGGGUGAGUAACACGUGGAUAACCUACCUAUAAGACUGGGAUAACUUCGGGAAGCCGGAGCUAAUACCGGAUAAUAUAUUGAACCGCAUGGUUCAAUAGUGAAAGACGGUUUUGCUGUCACUUAUAGAUGGAUCCGCGCCGCAUUAGCUAGUUGGUAAGGUAACGGCUUACCAAGGCAACGAUGCGUAGCCGACCUGAGAGGGUGAUCGGCCACACUGGAACUGAGACACGGUCCAGACUCCUACGGGAGGCAGCAGUAGGGAAUCUUCCGCAAUGGGCGAAAGCCUGACGGAGCAACGCCGCGUGAGUGAUGAAGGUCUUCGGAUCGUAAAACUCUGUUAUUAGGGAAGAACAAAUGUGUAAGUAACUAUGCACGUCUUGACGGUACCUAAUCAGAAAGCCACGGCUAACUACGUG
rnacentral:rRNA from 1 species